rnacentral:tRNA from 1 species
GGAGGGGUUCCCGAGUGGCCAAAGGGAACAGGCUGUAAACCUGUCGUCAUUAGACUUCGGAGGUUCGAAUCCUCCCCCCUCCACCA